CACGUAGGCACCAAGCGUUGUCCGGAUUUAUUGGGCGUAAAGAGCUCGUAGGCGGUUCGGUAAGUCGGGUGUGAAAACUUUGGGCUCAACCCAAAGCCUGCACUCGAUACUGCUGUGACUUGAGUCCGGUAGGGGAGUGGGGAAUUCCUGGUGUAGCGGUGGAAUGCGCAGAUAUCAGGAGGAACACCGGUGGCGAAGGCGGAUCUCUGGGCCUUACCUGACGCUCAGGCGCGAAAGCUAGGGGAGCGAACAGG
rnacentral:rRNA from 1 species